AUGGAGACAUGGCAUAAAGCCAGAAGGAGACAAGCUAGAGACUUUCAACUUGAACUGUUUUUUGCAUCUCUUUUU
rfam:Alligator mississippiensis ScZkoYb_55, whole genome shotgun sequence.